rnacentral:rRNA from 1 species
CCCUUAGAUGUUCUGGGCCGCACGCGCGCUACACUGACGAAUGCAACGAGCUUAUACCUUGGCCGAAAGGUCUGGGUAAUCUCCAAAUUUCGUCGUGAUGGGGAUAGAUUAUUGCAAUUAUUAAUCUUCAACGAGGAAUGCCUAGUAAGCGCAAGUCAUCAGCUUGCGUUGAUUACGUCCCUGCCCUUUGUACACACCGCCCGUCGCUCCUACCGAUUGAAUGGUCCGGUGAAGCGUUCGGACCGUGGCCUUUGGACGGUUCGCCGUCUGUUGGCUGCGGGAAGUUCGUUAAACCUUAUCAUUUAGAGGAAGGAGAAGUCGUAACA